rnacentral:rRNA from 1 species
UCGGGGAGUGAGUGCUGGUAUGAGUCUGUCAUCCUUCUAGAGGGCCAUGCCUGCUGCUCAUUCAGCUGGGCGUGUGCUAUCUAGAUCUUUUACUUUGAAAAAAUUAGAGUGUUUAAAGCAGGCUUACGCUGUGAAUACAUUAGCAUGGAAUAAUAAUAUAGGACUUUGGUCUUAUUUUGUUGGUUCUGAGGACUGAAGUAAUGAUUGAUAGGGAUAGUUGGGGGUGCUAGUAUUCAGUGGCCAGAGGUGAAAUUCUUGGAUUCACUGAAGACUAACUACUGCGAAAGCAUUCACCAAGGAUGUCUUCUUUAAUCAAGAACGAAAGUUGGGGGAUCGAAGACGAUCAGAUACCGUCGUAGUCUCAACCAUAAACGAUACCGACUAAGGAUCAGCAGACGUCUUUUUUCGACUCUGUUGGCACUUUAUGAGAAAUCAAAGUCUUUGGGUUCCGGGGGGAGUAUGGUCGCAAGGCUGAAACUUAAAGGAAUUGACGGAAGGGCACCACCAGGAGUGGAGCCUGCGGCUUAAUUUGACUCAACACGGGGAAACUCACCAGGUCCGGACAUGGCGAGGAUUGACAGAUUGAGAGCUCUUUCUUGAUUCCAUGGAUGGUGGUGCAUGGCCGUUCUUAGUUGGUGGAGUGAUUUGUCUGCUUAAUUGCGAUAACGAACGAGACCUUGAUCUGCUAACUAGCGACACCUAUCCUUGAUAGGUGGCACGCUUCUUAGAGAGACUGUACG